rnacentral:rRNA from 1 species
UACGUAGGGGGCAAGCGUUGUCCGGAAUCAUUGGGCGUAAAGCGCGUGUAGGCGGCUAGGUAAGUCUGCUCUGAAAGCCCGCGGCUCAACCCCGGGAGGCGGGUGGAUACUGUCUAGCUCGAGUCCGGAAGAGGAGUGUGGAAUUCCUGGUGUAGCGGUGAAAUGCGCAGAUAUCAGGAGGAACACCAAUGGCGAAGGCGGCACUCUGGGACGUGACUGACGCUGAGGCGCGAAAGCGUGGGGAGCAAACAGG